GUCCCUUCGGGGACAUUCGAUAAAAUUGAAACGAUACAGAAAAGAUUAGCAUGGCCCCUGUGCAAGGAUGACAUGCAUAAAUCGAGAAAUUAUUAUAAAAAUGUAU